CAACCAGGGCGUUGCCAAUCAUGGAGGCCAUACCGCUGACUUUGCUACCCUCAGCGAGUGCGAAACCGCCACCUAUGAGAUAUACGUAAGCUUUUAUGGAAUUAAAAAAUUCAUCUUCGACAAGAGUGCAUCGAUGAACUAAAAUCUUUGUAUGGCUAUAAAGCACCAUCCUAUAGCACUGUGAAAAACUGGUACAACGAAUUCAAUCGUGACCGAUGCUCGCUCAAAGAUGAAUUCCGUGAAGGUCGUCCAAAAACAGCCGUUGUGCCAGAAAACAUCGAUGCCGUACGUGAACUGAUAAUGCAAGACCGUCAUGUAACAUACCUUCAGAUAGAGGCAUGCCUAUGCAUUUCUCCCAUCACCAUACAUUCGAUAUUGCAUGAACACCUGGCCGUAAAAAAGGUUUUUUCUCGUUGGAUCUCUUACAAUUUGACAAUCGCUCAAAAAAAGGCUCGUGUGGAUUGGUGUAAAGAAAUGCUGAGAAAAUACGAUCGCGGUGCUUCAAAAGACGUUUAUAAGAAUCAUGGAUCUAUGCGUAUGAGCCCGAAACAAAACAGCAAUCGACAAGAAAAUAAAAAAAAAUAAUAAAAAAAAAAAACGAAAAAAAAAAUAAAUAAAUAAAAUAUAAUAAUAAAUGUAUGUAAUGUAAUGCAAACAAUUAAUUUUUAGUUUCGGUUCUAUUCAGUUUUAUUCUAUCAUUUCCAAAAUACAGAAAUUUUUGUUCGCACAUAUUUAUGGUUGUCUUAGGGUAAGAGAUGAAUGACAAUCCCCGACAGUGGUAAGACAUCACCACCUAACAUUUUAUCGUUUAAGGCUUGCAUUGUUCUGCACUUAUCUCAAAUUAUAAUUGUAAUUUUUAUUUUUGUCAACACUGCAGCUACUCCGCUAUUUUUAUGUUAGAUUUAGCUGUUGGUUUGUUAUGAAUGCUUGUGCAUCGUUCGAACAUAAUCUAGCAAAACAGCUUUAAUUUUUUUGUUUACACAAAAUUCAAAAAUGCUGCCUCGGCGUAGCUGUAAUUAAAAAGUAAGCAAAGUAAAAACUAGAAAAAUUGGAAGAUGAAAACGUAAAAUUGCUAUUGGAAAGUAAAAUUAAAAAUCGAAUAAAUGAUAGCUCAUCAAGAAAGGGGAAAACAUAUCGAUGGAACUAAUAAAGAUAAUUUAUACUACGUCAAAAAAGUUUCUCGGAAUAUAUAGAGUUUGUCCGGAAAGUAAGAGGACUUUGUCGAUUUAAAAAAUUUAUUGAACCAAUCGACUUCUAUUAAAGGCGUCACGGAAGUCAUUCUCCAGAAUAACCUUGAGAGCCGAGGUGCAUGCAGAGCCGAGGUCCGGGGGCCACUGAGCUGUAGGGCGGCUGCGGAAGCGUUGGCAUGCCGGCCUAGGUUUGGUAGCUGUGCACAAGAAAGGCGGUGUGAGCCGGUGCAACUUCCAAUCGGCUGCGAUGUCUUGUCGGACCCAGUUGACUCUUCGUUUGAGUUGUAAAACUUAGCCUUGACGGUUUGUCCAGGAGGAACAAAUUCAUGGUGGACGAUGCCUUUGAUGUCAAAAAAGACAGUGAGCAUCGUUUUCAGUAGGGAUUUGGUCAUUCAUCAUGCAGGCCUGGUGCCUCCGAAACACACCACUUCUUGCUAAAGCAUCAUUUGGAAUUUAAUCGCUUACCUCUGUUCUAACGAACGAUGCAUUUUUGGCUAGCACCACUCACAGAAACACGUCGCGCAAA